GCUUUAUGUACCAUCCUCCCAUAAAUUGGAGCACUACUUCCUGCACGGUUACGUGCUCUUCCCGUAUACCUUCCUGCACAUUAUUGCCAGAUAUAACUUUACCAAAAUGAGGAAAAUGUUUCAUAAAUUCAAAGUACCUUUAUUAAAACUAAACCUCUGUAAUGGGAUUAGAAGUUCUAAAUAUUGUAUACUUCCUUAUUAAUUUAUUUUCAUAUGUUGUACGCUUUCUUUGUAAUUGUUGCUUCAACAUAGGCGCCCCUUUGAUCACUUUGAAUUGUAGUAGUCUCAGUAGAGGACAAGUCAGACAUUAUUCUGUAUUACUUGGUAUUAUAACAUAAAACUGAUUUUAUUUAUCUAUCGAAUUAUUUAAAUUGUAAACAAACAUUUGAAAAUAAUUUUUGUAAAUGUUAUAAGUAUUAGGAGGAAAUAACUCUAUUACCUUUCUGAAUAGUCUAAUUUUAAAUCGUUCGAAUAUUUCUUGUAUAAUAAGUGGUAUCACUUAUUUUAGUUCUUUAUAAAGUUAGAUCUUCGUAUUUUAUUAUGAAUUUUCUGCAGCAAGUUUAAGUCAGAGAGCACUCAAGGUAAUGUAUAGGCAGGCAUCAAUAAUUCGAUUAUUUUACUUCUUUGCUUAUGUUUGGCCUCUAUUGUGAACUACACAGAGCUAGGCCUUAAUUAAGCGAACAAACCAUACGGUAACAAAUUAACAUGUAACUUCAAAAUCAUUUAAUUUCUCCGUCUUAGAAUGAAUAUAACAGCAAAUAAAAUAAAACAUAAUAUUACAAUAGUUUAAUGAAAACAAGAAAAAAAUAGAAAGCAAGUAUUUGUCAAUUUAAAUUUUCUCAUUCGGUUUACAAUAAAAUUAACUUUUUUACAACCCUGUUCCGCAUAGAAAAAGCUAAGCAAACAUAUCAAAUUCCAUUCAUCCAC